rnacentral:lncRNA from 1 species
CUGAGGAUGAUACUGGGAAUGAAGUUCCAGAAGAGCACAUGGUAUCUCUUGAGUUACAAAGUCAAACCCCUGGUGAUCUACCCACAGAGACAGAAACCUUACAUUCUGAUGCUAUAGUAAAAGAGUUGCCUCAUAAUGCUCCAGAUAAUAUGCAAACUGAUAUAGCCGAAGAUCCAAAACAGAGUCACAAUCCAGGAGGUAAUGCCGUAUUUGAUGCAGUCACUGAAGCAAGAAGUACUACACAAGAUCAUACUGAGGAUGAUACUGGGAAUGAAGUUCCAGAAGAGGACAUGGUAUCUCUUGAGUUACAAAGUCAAACCCCUGGUGAUCUACCCACAGAGACAGAAACCUUAUAUUCUGAUGCUAUAGUAAAAGAGUUGCCUCAUAAUGCUCCAGAUAAUCUGCAAACUGAUAUAGCCAGAGAUCCAAAACAGAGUCACAAUCUAGGAGAUAAUGCUGUAUUUGAAGCAGUCACUGAAGCACCAAGUACUGCACAAGAUCAUACUGAGGAUGAUACUGGGAAUGAAGUUCCAGAAGAGCACAUGGUAUCUCCUGAGUUACAAAGUCAAACCCCUGGUGAUCUACCCACAGAGACAGAAACCUUACAUUCUGAUGCUAUGAUAAAAGAGUUGCCUCAGAAUGCUCCAAAUAGUAUGCAAACUGACAUAGCUGAAGAUCCAAAACAGAGUCACAAUCCAGGAGAUAAUGCCGUAUUUGAAGCAGUCACUGAAGCACCAAGUACUGCACAAGAUCAUACUGAGGAUGAUACUGGUAAUAAAGUUCCAGAAGAGCACAUGGUAUCUCUUGAGUUACAAAGUCAAACCCCUGGUGAUCCACCCACAGAGACAGAAACCUUACAUUCUGAUGCUAUAGUAAAAGAGUUGCCUCAUAAUGCUCCAGAUAAUAUGCAAACUGAUAUAGCGGAAGAUCCAAAACAGAGUCACAAUCCAGGAGAUGCUGUAUUUGAAGCAGUCACUGAAGCACCAAGUACUGCACAAGAUCAUACUGAGGAUGAUACUGGGAAUGAAGUUCCAGAAGAGCACAUGGUAUCUCCUGAGUUACAAAGUCAAACCCCUGGUGAUCUACCCACAGAGACAGAAACCUUACAUUCUGAUGCUAUAAUGAAAGAGUUGCCUCAGAUUGCUCCAGAUAAUAUGCAAGUUGAUAUAGCUGAACAUCCAAAUCAGAGUCACAAUUCAGGAGAUAAUGCCGUAUUUGAAGCAGUC